UGCUUUUUUCUCACCUCUCCAGCUUCAGUCUUGACGGUGACCUUCCCUGUUUCCCUGCUUUGGAUUGUCCCUUUCACAAAGGAUUCCUUUGGAUGUGCCACAAAGACAGAUGACUUGGCAUCAAAAGGCUUGUUCUGGGCCUCAAUUCUUUCCUUCUCUGACUUUCGGAGGUAGGGAGCUGCCUCUCCAAAGACAGCCAUCUCAGCAUCUGAAGAAGCCAUGGCUGCUCUUCACUGAAGGCACCUCAGCAGAAUCUUCUAAUGGGGAGAAGUAAUGUGGCACAUAUCAUUUAGAUAUAUUCUGUCAGACUGGGAGACUGACUGUGACUUUGUUUUUCUUCAGCCUGUACUAUAUGGAGUAUCUAACGUGUCCUAAUGGAAGAUUUGAUUGACUUAGGUUGACUUAGGAAACAAGAGCUCAUAACUGAUGAAGUCUAUGUGUUCAGACGUCUAGAAGAGCUGUAUCUGAUCACCUUUAACAAUUGUAGGCUUGGGGCUUUAAGAACAUCAUGUCUGUAAGAUGAGUGAAGUUGCUGAGCAAGUUUUAUUUUAAGACAUCAUUACCAGCAGUUGAAAUAAAGGUGAAGCAUUUUGUUUAAAGACAAAGAAACACUUCUAUAAACAUGUAGUAUAAAAGACCUACAGUCUUGAAAAACAUUGAACCUAUGGGGCAUUUACUUAUUAACUAUAAUUGUAGUAGGAAGGCAGUGGAAAUUAAUGAAUUUUGCUACUGAAGUUGCCAGCAGAAAGAAAAGGGCAGGAUCUAUGACCUUUUAACACUCUGCUGUAAUUCAGUUUGUUUAGACAUUUGUCAUUCAUGAGUACAAUAUCCAAAUAGUCUCAUCUUCAAAGUUCUGACUUGUAUGAAACAAAAUUCAUGCACUGAAAUUGGAAUUGCCAUAGCUGGACAAAGCUCCCAAAUAAAUACUGAAAAAAUCCAGGAACAGGUGACUUCUCAAAACUUCAAUAAAAUAAGAGUGCUUCUUCAGAUGCUUCACUAAAAAUGUGGAUAUCUAGAUUUCUCCAGCUGCACUUGAAAUUUCUCUAGCUAUGUUAGUGAAAUUUAUUCCCUCUGUUCAUUAGCUAAGAAGGUUUUGUUUUGCUUUUGGUCUGGUAAAUGGAUAUUUGAAAGAGCUUCAACAUUUUACAAAGAUGUACAAAGAUGGUAAGAAGGUCGGUAUUGUCCGAUGAGUUGUUGAUAACAUGUUGAUGAAAAAUAUACAGUUUUGCACUUUUUCCUCCUUUGUUCAUCUUAUUCCAGUUCUAUUGCUGCAAUGAUAUGAAGCUGGCACGCCUCACUCCCUGUUUGGUCAGUUAAGCAGAAAUGAAGAGUAUUCCAAUGGGAAUUUUCUGGUCUGCCAUCAGAGACAGGAAGAUAGAAACACAACCAUUUGAAAACCUCACCAGCCAUGAGCACCCACCAGCUGCCUACUGUAAUCACACUGGCUUUGAAUGCAGGGUAAAAAAGGCGAUUGCUCAUCCAUACAGAAAUCCCACCCAAAAGCAUGAAUAAAUCAGGUUCUUACCUCUCGUGAUACCAGAUGGGUGGCUCACAGCCUGGCGGCUGGUCAGUGCUGCAAAACAGAAAUGGCAAGUUCCUACUUGGCACAGAAUUCCAGAGUGAAAAUGUGCAGGUAUCUUGAAAGCAGAUUUAAAACUCGAGCUGAGGAAUUGAGCUUCCUCCUGGAAACGAGCACUGGAGGCAGAGGAAUGGUGUAACACAGAAAGACUCCUGCAUGGCUGCGGACCCCAUCCACUUACCUUGGAGCUUUCCGUGGAGACAGGGCACUCUUGCUGCAGGGACAUUUUAUACGAUCUCAUCUGCAGAUGCUACAGAUGCCUACUCUUUCUUCGGUCAAAAAAUUUUUGGCAAGCCUUCUUUGGUAAAGCAUUGUCUGGCAAACUGAACUAAGGGCAUAAUUGUCAUUUGACAUGACUAGAUAUAAUUAGAAAAUUUUGAUGUCUUACGGACUAUAUGAAUACAUCUCCUAUAAACAAUUUGACAAGGGUGUUAAGGAGGGAAUCUGGACUAGUCAAGGCACUUAGAGAACUUGGAUGCAGGACUUAUGGAUUCUAUUGCUGGCUUUCCCACCGACUCACUGUAUGACCCAGAGUGGAUUGCUUGGUCUGGACUCUUCUGGGACAAGAAGCAAAGCACAGCAGGUAAAGGAGCAGAAGCAGACAGAAGGCCAUCUCUGGAUACAGACUGUCCUGUGCAGCAGCGCUGCGAGGCAACGCUCAUAUUCUCCAUGGUGGAGAGGGGUUCAGGCAUGCUGAAAAUAGAUCCCUCUUGAGGUGGAGAUCAGGCAGCUGCUUCCUUGUCUACUACCUUUUCAGAUGUGGGUUUUCUUCUCCUGAGUUGUGAGAGACAAAGAAUGAGAGGAUGAUUUUUAGCAGGGUGUCAGAAUGAGAACAAAGUGAGAAAGUGGAAGAACCUGUAUGUUGGUUAGUGGGAAACUCCCUCACAUGUGCGUUCAGUGUGGUAGAGGUCAUGAGCUGGAAACACACCAGUGUACUUGUAUGACAGCAGGUUUCGCAGCGUGGAAAGGAAUCUCUUACUGGUGAUCCUCAGCCUUUUCCCCUGAGAACUACUCUCCAGCCCUCUGCUCCUCUGACUAGAACAGAGUGCUGUGCCAGAGGAAGGGAGGGAAAACAUGGUUACAAAUCUCUGACAUCUUAGGGGCUGUAGACAGCCAUCACUGUCCUGUGCUCAUCUGGACAAAGAAAUUCUCCAUAUUUUUCUAAGUCAAAAUGCAUAUUAAAUACUUGUCCAAACAAAUUCCACUAUGGCAAAUGUACUGCUGGAAACUGCCUGUUUCCACUUAGAAGCAGUGCGCUGGUACAAGCUUCAACUAUUUCAAACCUGUAAAAAGGUUUUAUUAGCCUUACUAACUUUAACCUUAUUGAGUCAGUCUCGCUUGUUUCUUCUUUCCCAUCAACUUUUCAAAAACAAAGGCUUCCUGGGGAUUUUCUUUUUCCUUGUAGAAUGGAAUUUGGUUGAAAGGAAUUCAAGGAGCCAACUCAAACAAUGACACAAAAUUCAACUUUGUCCAAUUUGUGAAUGACACUAAAUUAGGCAGAUGACAAAUGACAGAGCUUAAUUCCAGAUACAUUAAGAGACAUGAGGACUGGAUCAACACAAAUGUUAUGAAGAUCAGUGUGGACAAGUGGAAAGCUCACAGCUGGGAGAAAAAUAGCCUGAGGUGUCAGUAUGAGCUGGGAACUGACCAGUUCAGCAGGAGCCCUGCUAGAAAGGACUUGGGAGUUAAGAUGGGUGCCCAGAAGGAUAAUGAGUGCUCUCACUGGAAACAAGGCAAAGAUACUGGAUGAUGCUCUGAGCACGUUCAGUUGACUAUCAGAAGCUAAAAUCCCUUUUGUUUGGUAUGACUGAGUUGUCAUCUGAAAUGGUUUGUCCACUGUGGGGCUCUCCUGUUCAAAAAGGAUAUGAACUAAAAUGAUGAAGAUGGUCUAGGGUCUCAAAAAGUAGUCCUACAAAGAGACUUCCAGGGUUUUUAAUGUUAGGAGAAAAGGACUAAGUUCCAUGUAGGGCAGUUAAAAAUACAAUGUUCUAAACUUUUCCAAUUAGUAGUAGGCAAUGUAACAAGGGACACUGAUCAAAAAUCACAACUUGAGAGGCACUAGUUAGUCAUUAGGAAAACUCUUCACAAAUGUCUGUACGGAGUGAGAUCAAAGGAUUGCAUAAUCUGUCACUCCUGAGAUAUUUCUCACCAUCCCAGUGGUGAAGACUUCUGAACUACAAACCCCCUCAAGCUGGUGAAAGACAUGUGACUAAAGCAAAAACAAGCCACAGAUGGGAAAUUGUACUGAAAACAGUACAAUCUGUGUCACUGCCAGUAAUGGGAGACAGAAGCAUAAGCACUUUCCUGCUAUCUCUGUGUGAAGCCUAAGAAACCUUUAACCUUCUCAGCUUUCAGUAACUUGUCCAUGUGUCUACGCCACACAGAGUCUGUAAUGCUCGCAGGAUAGAUAGGGCAGACAUCUCCUUUAACAGGGAUCCCCUUACACCCCUUGUUAUUGAGCCCUGGAAGGCUGGAGAGAGCUCAGAGCUGCUCGACUUCUGCUCAGAUACCCAUGACUCCAGCAUGGUUCUGUGCAAGGCAGCAGAUCCAUAUUCUCACUGUGAAUUUCAGACAACGUGGGAGUAUAAAACAAGGUAUCUUUCCAAGACAACUUCUCUUAAAAACCCCAUCUUAUAUUUGAACAAAAAUUGCAAAUUGGGAUUAAACAAUACUAGGAAACUGUCACAACAGCAAGGUCCCCCUGCCCAGUCCCCCUCUAGGGAAAGCAGACACAAAAGAAGCAAAAUUUUGUUAUAUAUAUUAGCGUAUUUCUGCAACUAUCAUCCUCUCCAAAAGCAAGAGUGGUUUGAGGGUCUGGAGUUCCUUCCUGUGUUCUUAUUCACCACUGGACUGCUUCAGAGCGAAAUACAGAAACUCACCAAGUUCCCUGCUGCCCUACAUGCCCAGCUGUAAUGUGAUCUGUGCAGUUAAAUGAGAUAAUCUGAUAUUAAGGCAGACGAACUAAGAGGCAAGGGGAUCAAAGAAGAUUGCUUUAUCAGCCUCUUAGGGGCUUGCAAUGGAUUUUACAGGAACACAGUCUCAUACCUUCUUUUAGUUCAUGGCAAUAAAAGAAAGAACAAAUUAGAGGGAUUUCUCAAUCACUGAUGUUUGACCAAGAGAAGGAUUCUAUUCCCCCUUUGGCUUUGGAGCAAAGCAGUAGAACUACAGCCCCCCUCCCCUCCCCUUCCCUCCCCUGCCUCCCCAUCUCCUGUCUGCUCUUCUUGGAAGAAACUGGAGAGAGGUUUUGUAUGUGACAUCAGUGAUAUUUUUACUUUGGGAAAGGCAGCAAUAUCACCAAGACACAGCUGCAACCGUUUCUUUGCCCCCCCUCCCUUCCACCCCCACUGAGUUCAGUAGCAAAUCUCUUAAGAGGCACAAAGGGCACAAAUGCCAAGAAAUGUGUCCUCCAUUAUGCCACGUGCAUCUGCUGAAUCCGAGACUUAUUUUAGGAGGAAUUAACAUGUAUUCCUUCAGAAUUUCAAGAGGAAGAACACCCUGCUUAGUCACCAACAUGAAAGAAACUGCACAGCAAGCUGAUUCAGAACACCAGCUUCACUUAACAUUUAGCGAACAUUUAGUUAACACUUUAACAUUUAGGUUGUUUGACAAGACUUCCUUAAGUUCUACAGCACUGUGAUGCUUCCUAAUCAAAGGCAAUCCGAUGCUGUCUCAAGCUAUCUUCUCCCUGGCAUUGUUACCUGUUACUUGAUUGACAGUACCUGAGUAAGUAUUUUUUACCAGUUUAGAUGCCAGGUGUUAAUCUGCUCCUGCAGAGGAGGUCAAAGUUACUGAGCUGAAGAAGAGGAAUAUGGACAGACUAUUGGCUUUCCAGGCUUGCAGCUGGUAGGAUAGAUGUGGAAAAGCUGUAACUGGUUUCAGGGAGCAGCUAUUUAGCAGUGCCCACUGCUCCAGUGUGCUUUCCCAUAGUAGAUCACCGUAGAUCACUUUGCUGUGAUAAUUAUUUGAUUAUUAUCCUCUGAUCCAGAAAAGAGCUGAGUAUAGCAAUCUUUUUCUUAAAUAGUACACUUUCCUUCCUCCCUUCUCUUAGAUAGUAUCCCUCCUUCCUUCCUGCCUGCCUUCCUGCCUGCCUCCCUCCCUCCCUCUCUUUGUUUUCUGCAAGACUUCUGAGAAUUUUAUUCCCAAAUAACUUGCUUUGCUGGCUGCUGUACAGAACUUACCCUCAGCCCACUUGAGAGGAUGGGGAAAGCAGCUGUUUGCCCCUUUCCCACAGUGAGUACACAGCACCUGCAGAGAGAGCCUCAUAAAUUUGAGAAUAUACAGCCAUCCACAUCACCUUAGAACAAAGGACUGGCAGGUACUCUGUAAGGAGAGUAUAUAAGAUAACUGGUGAAAAUGCAUUUUCACAUUUUCCAAAGUAUUUACAAUUUUAUGAAAGCAUAUAAUCUUCCCACCUGAUCAUUCCUUUUCCAAAGUGAAGAAUCAUAGUCACUGUCUCUCCAAUGUUCCCAUCAGCGUUGACAUCUUUCUACAUAACCUUUCUACUUGCACAGGCCAGAGCUGUGGAGAGCACAUGGUUUGUGAGCCUGGCACAAUGAUUUCUGUUUUGUUCUCAAUUGAUCCUGAUCAUUCCUAAUGAUCAGGCCUUUUGUGGCCACCAUCAAGCACUGACUUGACAUUUGGAGACAAUUACUUGCUGUCUGGUAGCCUCUUAACCCCAUUUACUUGCUGUCUGGUACCUCUUAACCCCAAUUCUCCUUUCAGAGACUGGAUUUCUGUAGGGUUUGGCCUAUACAGCUCAGAGGCACCGAAUAGGCAGAGGAGCUGACCUUUGGUUGCAGCCACACAAAGGGUUUUUUUGGCUGGUGUUGCACGGCCUGCCUUACAAGGAUGAUGUGGUAAGCAGCUUUCAGCAACAUGACAGUGCGUGAGACUCAAGCAGCUCAAAGCAGCAAGCAGAGCUGCAGAGAGACAGGUAAAGAGGCCACCUGUUGUGUAGGGAUGACCAGCUGUAAGCUAUCAGAGGUGCACCAUUACUCAGGCUCUUCAUGCAAACAUCAGCGGAAGAAAUCUGGGCAGCAGCCACUGCCAAGGAGGUGACAUUCAGGAUGCCCUUUCUGUCACCCACCAAAGCAGCUGAGGGGCUCCAGUUACAGAGCAGGGGAGUGGGGUGGGCAGGCUAUGAGGCCUCCGGGAAAGACAGAGAAGAAAGAGAGCAAGUGGCAAAAGGGGGAGGGAAGGAAAAUUAGGAUUAGGUGCAUAAUAUUAGAACUAGCAACAACUGCAUCCUAAAAAAGAGAGCAAUGAAGUGAUAUCUUCCUUUGCUGACACUCAUCUUAGACAGAUGCACAAAUCCCACUUCUGGGCAGGUUUCAGUGCUGUAAGUGGAAAUGUACUGAUACUGGAAUUUGUAUAAUCCUGUUCUCUUUAAAUGUUAGACUUUUCAAGGUUAGAACACUGUAAGAUCUUCUGAGUGCCAUGGUCACAGCAGCGCAGUUACCUAUUUAGCAGAAUAUUUUCUAAACUAACUUCCUAUGUUGCAAAAAAGUUCCUUUUGCAUCUUCAGGAAAUUUGCCAACAGACUCAUUUUAUUCAUGGUGAUCAACAUAAACAUUUCCUUAACUGCUCUCUGUAUCCACCUGACAGACACAGGGAAGCAUACACGUUUCUGCUCCCUCUGGACUGCAAAUUAGCUGCGCAAAGCAGACCAGCUCCGUCAGAAGACAGUGAUGGUGAUGUGCCACCAGACAGCCAGCAGCCAGGGUGCCCCCAUGUGAGCAGCUGGUGAUGAGCAGCUGGGGGGGUCUGGCAAUGCUUACAUUCUCCGUUCUGUGGUAAUUACCUGCUCACCUCACUUUAAGUCUUCUAAGGACAGAUGUUUCUCUUCGAGUGUUUUGUCACAAAGUGCUUGAGAAGGUCUGAGUUUAUGCCAAAGGAGAAGCGAAUACUGAGCCCAAAGGAAGAGAGAAAGUUGUUUAACAUCUCAGACAGGACCAUGGCCUGAGAAAACGUAUCCCAAAUCUGCCGCAUAGAAUCAGAGAACCACAGAAUGGCCUGGGUUGACAAGGACCUCAAGGAUCAUCUAAUUUCAACCCUCUUGCCAUUGGCAGGGUCACCAACCAACAGACCAGGCUGCCCAGAGCAUCUCAAGGUGCAGUGCCAAAUUCACUCAAUUACCGCUUUGUCGAACAUUACAGGUGUAUGUUCCCUUCCUUCCAAGUUAGUCCCUCAGAUUCCUCAAAGUGCCCUGCUGCUGCAGUUGACCAAUGCCUUCCCAGUUUUAGGGUCUCAAAGCAGAGCCAUCCCCUGACCCUGCACUGCUCUCUGCCUCGUGUAUUUGCUAAGCCUGCAGCUUGCCCCUUGGUGCUUCAGUUCCAAACCCUCCAUGUACACUGAACUGUAUUUCUCCAAGCAGCACUGUGCGGACCUCAGGGAGCUGCUGGCAUGUGGAGAUGGUGGUGCCCACUCUGCUGGAGCUGUAAGAGCAGUGCUCUGAAGCCUUAACAGCAAAACUUGUGUCCUGUGUGAUUUCCUUCUCUACUGGGGCUCCUUACUGUGAACUACUGAACGUGGCUUUACUGAUAGAGUGUCUGAAGGGAAAUGUUUUCAACCAUCUGUUCUGCUAGAACUGAACUGCUACUGUUGUGCUCAGGAGGUCUCCUGCAGUCCACACAGUCCACACAGGACAGCAGUUCUAUAUAAGCCCAUCAGCUGCAUCUAUUUUAAACUUUCUCUCAGAGGUCCUUGUUUAUGGCCACUAUGAACUGAUGUUUUUCUCAAGACCUUUGCACAAGCCCUGGUCAGAUGACAGGCAUCCUGACUCCACAAAUAGAGUGAGAAUGCAAAAUGACCCUCGUUCUCCAUAAGGCAGUGAGCAAUACAUCUUCCAUUUCCCUCACAUCAGUGUCCCACUUUGGUCCUGAUCAUACAGCAGGCUUUAUAGCAGUGUCUGUCUUUUUUUUUUCCCAGCCUCUGCUCCUCCUGCACACAUCCUCCUUGGCUCAGAUCACUGAUUUGGUCCUUUCCCCAUUACAUACCUAAACUCUCCUUCCUGGCAUCCCUCAAAGCUGCUCAGCCUCUGCUCCAUUCUCCUCCUCCGCUGUGUUUGUUGUUUUUCUUCUCAUCCUAUUCUUCAACUGCCAAAAAACCCACAUGCAAAGGAGGUAGCCACAAGCUGGGCUUCCUCUUCACUCCACAUGGCCUAGGCAAGCCAAAUGGUCAGACACCCAUGGGUUAGAUGGUCAUAUGCACAUAAUCAUUUUAGUGCUUACCAAUAAUUUAUCUUCCUGUUUCCUCUGACCAUUCUUCCCUCAACCUGAUGCUCACUUGUCGUUUCUCCCACUCCCACAUCCUCCACCAUCUUCUCGCUCUGCCCUCUUCCUCCACACACUCACGUCUUGCUCUCCCUGUCCUCGUCUCCUCCCUGCUCUCCCCAGCACAAUUUCAAACUCCCAUCAGCACUUCAGCACUGUGGUUACUCAUACUUUGUCUCUCUUGUUUUCCAGUUUAUUAAUUUUUUUCAACAAGAGCCACAUUACGGUGCA